rnacentral:rRNA from 1 species
UACAGGGGGGGCAAGCGUUGUUCGGAAUCACUGGGCGUAAAGCGCACGUAGGCGGCUUGUUAAGUCAGGGGUGAAAUCCUGGAGCUCAACUCCAGAACUGCCUUUGAUACUGGCGAGCUUGAGUUCGGGAGAGGUGAGUGGAACUGCGAGUGUAGAGGUGAAAUUCGUAGAUAUUCGCAAGAACACCAGUGGCGAAGGCGGCUCACUGGCCCGAUACUGACGCUGAGGUGCGAAAGCGUGGGGAGCAAACGGG